UAAAAACCCCGACUUCGGAAGGGGUGUAUUUAUUAGAUACAAAACCAAUGCCCUUCGGGGCUCUUUGGUGAUUCAUGAUAACUAUACGAAUCGCACGGCCUUGCGCCGGCGAUGGUUCAUUCAAAUUUCUUCCCUAUCAACUUUCGAUGUUUGGGUAUUGGCCAAACAUGGUUACAACGGGUAACGGAGGGUUAGGGCUCGACCCCGGAGAAGGAGCCUGAGAAACGGCUACUACAUCCAAGGAAGGCAGCAGGCGCGCAAAUUACCCAAUCCCGACUCGGGGAGGUAGUGACAAUAAAUACUGAUACAGGGCCCUUUCGGGCCUUGUAAUUGGAAUGAGUACAAUUUAAAUCCCUUAACGAGGAACAAUUGGAGGGCAAGUCUGGUGCCAGCAGCCGCGGUAAUUCCAGCUCCAAUAGCGUAUAUUAAAGUUGUUGUGGUUAAAAAGCUCGUAGUUGAACCUUGGGCCUGGCUGGCCGGUCCGCCUCACCGCGUGCACUGGUCCGGCCGGGCCUUUCCCUCUGUAGAACCCCAUACCCUUCACUGGGCGUGGCGGGGAAACAGGACAUUUUACUU
rnacentral:rRNA from 1 species